AUUGAACGCUGGCGGCAGGAUUAACACAUGCAAGUCGAACGAGUGGCGGACGGGUGAGUAAUGCUUGGGACUCUAGCUUAUGGAGGGGGAUAACUACGGGAAACUGUAGCUAAUACCGCGUACCAUAGGAUGAGCCCAAGUGGGAUUAGGUAGUUGGUGAGGUAAAGGCUCACAAAGCCGACGAUCCCUAGCUGGUCUGAGAGGAUGACGAGCCAUACUGGGAGUAAGACACGGCCCAGACUCCUACAGUAGGCAGCAGUGGGGAAUAUUGCGAAAUGGGGGCAACCUGACUCAGUCAUGCCGCGUGAAUGAAGAAGGCCUUCGGGUUGUAAAGUUCUUUCGGUAGCGAGGCGUUAACUACAGAAGAAGCACCGGGUAACUCCGUGCCAGCCGCCGCGGUAAUAC
rnacentral:rRNA from 1 species